AGUCGAACGAGCGAGAGAGAGCUUGCUUUCUCGAGCGAGUGGCGAACGGGUGAGUAACGCGUGAGGAACCUGCCUCAAAGAGGGGGACAACAGUUGGAAACGACUGCUAAUACCGCAUAAGCCCACGGCUCGGCAUCGAGCAGAGGGAAAAGGAGCAAUCCGCUUUGAGAUGGCCUCGCGUCCGAUUAGCUAGUUGGUGAGGUAAUGGCCCACCAAGGCAACGAUCGGUAGCCGGACUGAGAGGUUGAACGGCCACAUUGGGACUGAGACACGGCCCAGACUCCUACGGGAGGCAGCAGUGGGGAAUAUUGCACAAUGGGGGAAACCCUGAUGCAGCGACGCCGCGUGGAGGAAGAAGGUCUUCGGAUUGUAAACUCCUGUUGUUGAGGAAGAUAAUGACGGUACUCAACAAGGAAGUGACGGCUAACUACGUGCCAGCAGCCGCGGUAAAACGUAGGUCACAAGCGUUGUCCGGAAUUACUGGGUGUAAAGGGAGCGCAGGCGGGAAGACAAGUUGGAAGUGAAAUCUAUGGGCUCAACCCAUAAACUGCUUUCAAAACUGUUUUUCUUGAGUAGUGCAGAGGUAGGCGGAAUUCCCGGUGUAGCGGUGGAAUGCGUAGAUAUCGGGAGGAACACCAGUGGCGAAGGCGGCCUACUGGGCACCAACUGACGCUGAGGCUCGAAAGUGUGGGUAGCAAACAGGAUUAGAUACCCUGG
rnacentral:rRNA from 1 species